rnacentral:rRNA from 1 species
UACGUAGGGUGCAAGCGUUAAUCGGAAUUACUGGGCGUAAAGCGUGCGCAGGCGGUUUUGUAAGUUUGUCGUGAAAUCCCCGGGCUCAACCUGGGAAUUGCGAUGAAGACUGCAAGGCUAGAAUCUGGCAGAGGGGGGUAGAAUUCCACGUGUAGCAGUGAAAUGCGUAGAGAUGUGGAGGAACACCGAUGGCGAAGGCAGCCCCCUGGGUCAAGACUGACGCUCAUGCACGAAAGCGUGGGGAGCAAACAGG